CAGGGAUCUUCCUGUGUCAGCCUCCAGAGUGCUAGGAUGACAGCUGUUGAAGUCACCAUUCUUUUUAAGGUUUUGUUUUAUUUUUUUCCUUUGUAUUUUUUUCUCUUUUGGUACCGGACAUCAAACUUAGGGCCUCAUGCUUGCCAGACAGGCAUUGCAUGCUGAGCUACAUCUCUGGCCCAACGCCACCAUUCUUUUUUUGGAAGGUAUGGGGUGUGCCAGGAAUCAAACUCAGGACCUUGUGUUUACCCCUCCCCUUGUUUGCCCCACCCCCUAUCUUUUGAGACUAUGAAGUUCAGGCUGGCCUUGAAUUCUAGGAGAUCUUCCUGCCUCACCCUCCAGAAUGCUGGGAUUACAGGUGUGUGCCACCACAUCCCAAUGUGACAUCAUUCUUAACAUUGUAAAAGACUACAGCAUAUUAAAAAAAUAUACUCUCCAUGUUCUGCACAGAUGAUUUAACAGCUUGAUAUAAAACAAAGGCUCCUGCAUGUUGUGGACCUGCGGCAUUCCACCUAUCUGGCCUUCCUCUUGGCUAAUUCUGGUACCAACGCUAGAAGUAGGUAUUAUCCUCCCCCUCAUCUCGGCACAGGAGCAGUGUCCUGCUCCAAGGUUCAUGACUUGCCCAAGGCACAGGGCUGGGCUUGGGGGCAGUGGAGAUGCAAACUGAGCUCUGCUUCACAGAGCUGAUGUCUGGCCUCUUUCACAAUAGUGCUGAGGAUGCGAGCCUUUGCUCAGAGCUCAGAGGGUAGAUGGGCGGAUACCAACUGGCUAAGGCUAAUGUAGGAAAACAACCUUGAGAUAAAGAUUUAUAGAGAGCAAACUCUGUAAUUAGCCUGCUGGCCCAGCAGGAAUGUGAGUUUGAUCUGCAGUUGGGUCACAACUACUGGCUUCUAGAGGUUCAAGGGCAGCACUGUGGGGUCUCUGACAAAAGUGGUUUUCAAAGGCAGGAGUCUAGGCAGGUUUUCUUCACAGCAGGAUGCUGCCCGAAGUCCUCACAGUGAAGACAACACCUUGGAACAAGAUCAAGGAAACUUGAAGGGCAACAAGUGUGUUAGACAGUCUUCCUGAUAGCAGCCACUGCGUGGAGGUCUGAGUGACCUGACCUGAUCCUUUUAAGGGAGCCCUUGAGAUGUGAGAAGUGCUCAGCAGAGGACCACACGGAGGCCUUCCUCACGCUUGCUCAUCUGCUCUCACCAGUGCCACCCUUUAUGAACAGCAAGACUUGGUGGGCCUUCUGGUCAGGAGAGAAGGUAAACGGGACAGGAGUCCUUGCCUUGGCCUACGCAGGACACAUCAUGGUCCUCCCUUUGGAAUUUCUAGAUGGUGUGAACCCACAGGAAGGAAACAGAGAUCUGCUGAUUCCUAUGAACCUUCAUAUCUGAGAUGUUUAUGCAAUGAGCCUGCACAUUGAGAGAGACUGAACUUUUUCCCCUCACUGAUGUGAGCUCUUUGGAUGGCGUGGGUUUGCUCUCAAGUUUCCAGACCUUUUAUUUUCUGGAAAGAAAAUCGACUGUUUAAUGCUGACAUACUAUUUUCCAGUCACUAUACUAGGCCAUACUGUCUCAUGUCACUUACAUUAAAAUGAUUUCAGGCUA